ensembl:lncRNA
CCGAUUGGCCCGGCCCCGAGGGGCCAAUAGCUUUUGGCCUCCGCGGGCGAGCGAUUGGCCGAGAGUAUGUUACCGGGCGGCCGCCGGCUGGAGCGCGAGAGCGGCCGGGCUGUGAGGGAGGGGCGUGCGCCCACUGGCGAGCACCUGCAGAGGUGGGCUCCGGCGGAUGGGUGGGAAGCCGCGCGUGGCCCCCUCCCUAGCGUGAGCCGGCGCUCGAGCCCGGAAGCGGCGGCCCGCCGGGCCACGUGCUGGGAGCCGGGCCGAGCCCCCAGGGAGCAAUUGUAAAGAAAAAUGGAGGGGAGCACUAAGAAGCAAGAAGCAAAGGUGGCAAAUGAGCCAACUGAUUCCACCCUCGAAAAACAGCCAGCCCCAACCCCCCCACAAGGGGAAUCGGAAGCCGAUAGUUCCGAGGAAGAAGUUCCCCAAGAGCUGAAAGUGUGGGGCUACGGAGGGGCCGAAGGGGGGGGCUGCUGGCUGCAGGAGGAGGCCUUGAGCAUUCCUGGAUCGGCGGAGGAGGAUGAGGAGAGUGAGGCUAUCCAAGCCAUGGCGCUCGGGGUGGAAUUACAGUGCAGGCUCCAGCUCCACCUGGAUCAGCUGGAGGCCAAGGCCAAAUCCAGGGCCAGGGCCAGGGCCAGGGCCAGGGCCAGGGCCGCGAUGGCUGCCAGACGGGGCAGCCCGGAACGCGCCCUGGGAGCUUCGGCAAGUCCGGCAGCCGCGGCCCGCCCUCAGCCCUUGGUGGUCCGGGGCAGUCGGGGGGAGCCCCACAUCCGAGCUCAAGAGACGGAGGCCUCCCUGGGGCAGGCCCCUGAGGAAGUCAAACCAGGUGUGAAGGGAGGCCGAGAUCCAUUCGGGGCUCCCGUUCGGAAAACGGGAAAGGGCCCCAGAGGAAAGGAAGCUGCUGCUAAAGCUCGGGAAGGUCCGCCGGCCUCUAAUCCUCCUAGUAUCUGCCAGAGAAGAGAGAACUACCCAAAUCUGGAGCUGAAAGGCUCGGUCCCAGAAGGAGCCAUCACCCUGGGGCACACACGUGAGAGCCACGUUCUCAGGGACCCCAGUAGCCAGAAGCCGGGAGAGACCCCAAGUCCGCUCGGGGAGCAGCUGGAGAGGUGAGACCAGGGAGCCCUUCCGCCCGCCCACCACGUGCCUUCCUCAUCUGCUCUUUGCUUCAUCUCUCAAUGAAAAACCCAAGUUGCGCUUGGACAAGACCUCAGCCCGAAGCCCGGCCGAGCUCCCCGGGCCUCCAUUCCCCCUCUUUCAAAGAAGACGAUGACCGUUGGGAUCUUUCCAGCUCAGUGUCUGCUCCUCAUUCUCGGCCUCUUUCCGCCCCUCAGACCCUGCCGCGUGACCUUAGAAAGCCCCUUCCCCUCCCCCCUGUCCCCCUGCCUAACUGUCUCAUCUGUCUCUCUCGGACAUGCUCCGAACACAGGUUGCCCGUAUUUCCCAGCUAGCAUCGGGGUUCCUCUCCCCUCACCUCCAGCACGGAGCCCUAGUGUAUGGCAGGUGCCCCCCGCCAGGAAGGCCAAUGGGGGGGGGGGGGUUUGGCCCCUGCCCCCGGGUUCUCCUGCCCCUGGGUUCAGAUGUGUUUGUGUGCGCUCGCGUGACCCCAGGCAAGUCCCUUCUCUUGAAGCCUCAGUUUCCUCCUUUGCCCCCGGCGAAUGGAGGGGGCUGGGCAUCCACACCCUGGAAGCUCUUUUCCAGCCCUUGCCUCGCGUGUCUGUGCGCGAGUUCGGGCCCACGGCCGUCCCCCGCCGUCGUCAGCACGGCCACUUCUGCCGCCUCGGCCGCACCCCGCAGACUCUCGUGGUGUCCCAUACGUGCGGCCCCCUCCCCCACCCCCGGCACCCGGCCCACACUCCUCCAGAAGCAGAGGAGGCCUCUGUCUACCCCUCUCCACCUUGCGGCCCGUCUGAGCCAGAGACGUCUGCCGGUGGCAGGAAGGAAGAGUCCCAAGCUCCCGGCAAGUCUCCCGCUCCAGGGCCUCCAGCAGAAGAAAAUACAAAGGAAGAGCCUCUAGCGGGAACUGAAGGCCUCGUUCCCACGAGUCCCCACGCAGGUAAGACUGUGACUUUUCCCUUCAUCUGGGUCAGGGAAAACGAGAGACCGAGGUGGAAAGGGCCUCGGAGAUUAGCCCCUCCCUCCCGUGGAGAAACUGAGGCACAGAGCCAAGGAUUGACUUGUUACAGGCCUUGCCUCUUAUUCAGAGCUACAAGCCCCGUUAGAAUCUAAGUACCCUAAAUCUCCAGCCCAAGUAACGAGCACGGAGACUCGGGCGGCAGGAACCUCUAGAUGCUAGUGCUACAGAUCCAGGGGCUGGCCCAGAAACAACAGCACCAAGCAGGGCAAACGUGCAUCCCGGGGAUCGCGAGCACACUAGGGAAGGUCCCGGCUUGGGGACGGGGGCCUCACUCAGCCUUGCUCACUCGCUCGGCCCCUUCCAACUUAGGGAGAGAGGAACCCUGGAGCUUCAGUCCACAGUUCCCUCCCCCACCCCCGCUUCUCGGGACGGGACGUCACAGCCUCCAACACAACCAACUCUCACUGAGCUUGGGAGGAUUAGGGACUCUGAGCACACCCUCCCCCCAAUUUCUGACAGCAGGGUAAUGGAGCCAAACUUCCAGCCAGAGAUUCACCCCACUGUACCCAAAGCCAGGAAAAAACACUGAGGGAGGAAGAAAGUCUUCUCUUCUCUGUGUGGGUGAUGAGGAAUAGCUCAGGUCAGGGAGGCCGGGGGCUUAGGGGGAGGCGCAGCGGGCUUCAGGAAAUCAGGGCGUGCUUAAGGAUCAGGAAGACACCCAGAAGCCUUCUUCGGCUUGGCUGGUACCACACCCUUGUCCCCCAGGCCUGGACACAGGGGGCUGGUCUGGAUGGAAAUAUUGUGAAAUAAGGCAGAAGGAGGAAGUAAGCCGGAGACAGAGAAGGAAGGAGACAGAGAGAGAAAGGAAAAUGAG